rnacentral:rRNA from 2 species
UUUGUAUAAUGGGUCAGCGACUUAUAUUCAGUGGCAAGGUUAACCAUCUAGGGGAGCCGUAGGGAAACCGAGUCUUAACUGGGCGUUCAGUCUCUGGAUAUAGACCCGAAACCAGGUGAUCUAGCCAUGGGCAGGUUGAAGGUUGAGUAACAUCAACUGGAGGACCGAACCGACUAAUGUUGAAAAAUUAGCGGAUGACUUGUGGCUAGGGGUGAAAGGCCAAUCAAACCUGGAGAUAGCUGGUUCUCCCCGAAAGCUAUUUAGGUAGCGCCUCGGACGAAUACUACUGGGGGUAGAGCACUGUUAAGGCUAGGGGGUCAUCCCGACUUACCAACCCUUUGCAAACUCCGAAUACCAGUAAGUACUAUCCGGGAGACACACGGCGGGUGCUAACGUCCGUCGUGGAGAGGGAAACAACCCAGACCGCCAGCUAAGGUCCCAAAUUACUACUAAGUGGGAAACGAUGUGGGAAGGCUCAGACAGCCAGGAUGUUGGCUUAGAAGCAGCCAUCAUUUAAAGAAAGCGUAAUAGCUCACUGGUCGAGUCGGCCUGCGCGGAAGAUGUAACGGGGCUAAGUA